UACGGGGGGUGCAAGCGUUGUUCGGAUUUACUGGGCGUAAAGGGCGCGUAGGCGGCCAGCACAAUUCAGUUGUGAAAUCUCCGGGCUUAACUCGGAAAGGUCAACUGAUACUGUGCGGCUAGAGUGCAGAAGGGGCAACUGGAAUUCUCGGUGUAGCGGUGAAAUGCGUAGAUAUCUGGAGGAACACCGGUGGCGAAGGCGGCAUCCUGGACCAACACUGACGCUGAGGAGCGAAAGCCAGGGGAGCAAACGGG
rnacentral:rRNA from 1 species